UUAGAGGAAGUAAAAGUCGUAACAAGGUUUCCGUAGGUGAACCUGCGGAAGGAUCAUUAGUGAUUUUGAAACGUCAUUUUCUGUGCUGGCCGCUCAGGCAUGUGCACAUUGAUGGCUUUCAUCCAACACCCAUUUGUGAACCUUUGGCCUUGCGUUGGUUUCGGCCGGCGGAAGGAUUUUACACAUACUCCGAAUGUAAUGAAAUAUUGUCGUGCACAAGCACUAAUGUACAACUUUCAACAACGGAUCUCUUGGCUCUCGCAUCGAUGAAGAACGCAGCGAAAUGCGAUAAGUAAUGUGAAUUGCAGAAUUCAGUGAAUCAUCGAAUCUUUGAACGCACCUUGCACCCUUUGGUAUUCCGAAGGGUAUGCUCGUUUGAGUGUCAUUGUACUCUCACACUCUCCGAUUUCAGAUUGGGAGUCGUGGACUUGGAUGUUGCUGCUUUGCUGUCAGGCUCAUCUCAAAUGCCUUAGUGCAACUCUAUUUGGACAUAGUACAGCGUGAUAAGUAUCUUCGCUGGCAACUCACAAGAGUAUGUCCAAUUUGGAGCUCUGUGCUUCAAAAACUGUCCUUUGGACUAUCUCCGACAACUUGACCUCAAAUCGAGUAGGACUACCCGCUGAACUUAAGCAUAUCAAUAAGCGGAGGAA
rnacentral:rRNA from 1 species